AAGUCGUAACAAGGUUUCCGUAGGUGAACCUGCGGAAGGAUCAUUACCGUAACUUGGUUUUUUCUUCUUUUUAAAACAAAGAAGAAAAAACUAAACCAAAUUACAGGUUGACAAUGUGCACUGACUGAAGUUUUGAAACAACAAAAGAGCGUUGCUCUUCUUUUCUUUCUUUCUCUCUCUCUCUCUCUCCGAAAGGAAGAGAGAAGAAAAAGAAAAGAGAGAAGGGCACGUGUGUUUCUUUAUCAAAUGAGAACACUAACCAACAUGUGUGAUGACGCGCUUUUUUUAAAUCUUUACAACUAUACAAUACAACCCUAUAAAUAUAUUGCGAGAAUGUGAGAAACAACUGGCAACGGUGGAUCUCUAGGCUCGUUA
rnacentral:misc_RNA from 1 species